rnacentral:rRNA from 1 species
AUUGAACGCUGGCGGCAGGCCUAACACAUGCAAGUCGAGCGGAUGAGAAGAGCUUGCUCUUCGAUUCAGCGGCGGACGGGUGAGUAAUGCCUAGGAAUCUGCCUGGUAGUGGGGGACAACGUUUCGAAAGGAACGCUAAUACCGCAUACGUCCUACGGGAGAAAGCAGGGGACCUUAGGGCCUUGCGCUAUCAGAUGAGCCUAGGUCGGAUUAGCUAGUUGGUGAGGUAAUGGCUCACCAAGGCGACGAUCCGUAACUGGUCUGAGAGGAUGAUCAGUCACACUGGAACUGAGACACGGUCCAGACUCCUACGGGAGGCAGCAGUGGGGAAUAUUGGACAAUGGGCGAAAGCCUGAUCCAGCCAUACCGCGUGUGUGAAGAAGGUCUUCGGAUUGUAAAGCACUUUAAGUUGGGAGGAAGGGCAGUAAGUUAAUACCUUGCUGUUUUGACGUACCGACAGAAUAACACC